AGUGAACGCUGGCGGUAGGCCUAACACAUGCAAGUCGAACGGCAGCACAGGAGAGCUUGCUCUCUAGGUGGCGAGUGGCGGACGGGUGAGGAAUACAUCGGAAUCUGCCCAGUCGUGGGGGAUAACGUAGGGAAACUUACGCUAAUACCGCAUACGACCUUCGGGUGAAAGAGGGGGAUCGCAAGACCUCUCGCGAUUGGAUGAGCCGAUGUCGGAUUAGCUAGUUAGCGGGGUAAUGGCCCACCAAGGCGACGAUCCGUAGCUGGUCUGAGAGGAUGAUCAGCCACACUGGAACUGAGACACGGUCCAGACUCCUACGGGAGGCAGCAGUGGGGAAUAUUGGACAAUGGGCGCAUGCCUGAUCCAGCCAUACCGCGUGGGUGAAGAAGGCCUUCGGGUUGUAAAGCCCUUUUGUUGGGAAAGAAAUCUUUCAGGCUAAUACCCUGGGAGGAUGACGGUACCCAAAGAAUAAGCACCGGCUAACUUCGUG
rnacentral:rRNA from 1 species